rnacentral:rRNA from 1 species
UACACUCCUACGGGAGGCAGCAGUGGGGAAUAUUGCACAAUGGGCGCAAGCCUGAUGCAGCCAUGCCGCGUGUAUGAAGAAGGCCUUCGGGUUGUAAAGUACUUUCAGCGGGGAGGAAGGCGAUAAGGUUAAUAACCUUGUUGAUUGACGUUACCCGCAGAAGAAGCACCGGCUAACUCCGUGCCAGCAGCCGCGGUAAUACGGAGGGUGCAAGCGUUAAUCGGAAUUACUGGGCGUAAAGCGCACGCAGGCGGUCUGUCAAGUCGGAUGUGAAAUCCCCGGGCUCAACCUGGGAACUGCAUUCGAAACUGGCAGGCUAGAGUCUUGUAGAGGGGGGUAGAAUUCCAGGUGUAGCGGUGAAAUGCGUAGAGAUCUGGAGGAAUACCGGUGGCGAAGGCGGCCCCCUGGACAAAGACUGACGCUCAGGUGCGAAAGCGUGGGGAGCAAACAGGAUUAGAAACCCUUGUAGUCCCAUGAU